UAUAAAGUUAAUUUUUUAACUUUCAAUAAGACAUGUUUUUAAAACCGUGUUCAUGCUUCUGGAGAAAUCCCCGGAAUAAAAUGUCUUAAUUUUGAAUAUUAAUGGAAAUGUAUUCUUUAUACUUUUCAGUUCAUUUGAAGGUUUUGCAGACAAGAGCUUUUUUUUUACUUUCUUUAGUGAGAGGUUUUGUACGGCGACUCAGUGAGUUUGCAUCACUGUGGUACACAUUUGGUGGAGGAACCAGACUGGAUGUUGGAAGUGAAGCCCGUCCCACCUUGAUGGUUCUGCCCCCUUCCAAUGAGGAGCUGCAGCAGGGAAGGCCACGCUCGUGUGCCUGGCCAACAAGGGCUUCCCCUCAGACUGGAGUCUGGCCUGGAAGGUGGACGGCAUCAGCGGCGGCAGCUGGGAGGAGAGCAGGGGCCCUGCGGUGAUGGAGCAGGACGCUCG